AUAGUACUGUUUAUGGUAAAAUAGGUAGAGACUUAUUAGAGGGACAUUUAGGGUAUAGCGGAAGGAAGUUUGUGGCAAUAACAGGUCUGUGAUGCCCUUAGAUGUUCUGGGCAGCACGCGCGAUACACUGAUGACUUCAACGAGUUUUUUCUAUUCGGAAAAGUCCUUUGCCGGAAGGUAUGGGUAAUCUUUUAAAUGGUCAUCGUGAUGGGGCUAGAUUCUUGCAAUUAUUAAUCUCCAACGAGGAACC
rnacentral:rRNA from 1 species